UAUGUUAUGCGUGUAUUAUCUAUGCAGUAUAUAGGAAGUACAUACAAAUCUAGAGCUAACUCUUAGUCCUUCUCCCUAGCUUAGUUAGCUUGAGAUGAUUCCUGUGUGUGUCACACUACAUAUCAAUCAUAUCUUACCCCUGCCUUGAGUAUUGUUUUUAUAAAUCUUUUGACCUACCCGCCUUCCUUUUGAAAAUACGAUACCCUUGGGAAUACUCUUGGGUGAAAUGCUACAACGGUAUAUCCGUGUGCUUGUGGAUUCAUUCGUGAUCAUUAAAUAUACCAACAAUAUGCACCACUAUUAUGGAUGAUUAAAACCCCCUCAUCUGCUCCAUAGUCCAC
rnacentral:lncRNA from 1 species